CCUACGGGUGGCACCAGUGAGGAAUUUUCCGCAAUAGGGGCAACCCUGACGGAGCAACGCCGCGUGCAGGAAGACGCUUUUCGGAGUGUAAACUGCUUUUCUGUGGGACGAGCGAGGACGGUACCACAGGAAGAAGCCCCGGCUAACUACGUGCCAGCAGCCGCGGUAAUACGUAGGGGGCGAGCGUUGUCCGGAGUUACUGGGCGUAAAGGGCAUGCAGGCGGUCGGACGCGUUUCGGGUGACAGUGGGUGGCUUAACUACCCGAGCGGUCGAAAGACGGUUCGACUUGAGGACUCGAGAGGGACACGGAAUUCCGGGUGGAGUGGUGAAAUGCGUAGGGAUCCGGAGGAACACCGAAGGCGAAGGCAGUGUCCUGGCGAGUAACUGACGCUGAGGUGCGAAAGCCAGGGGAGCGAACGGGAUUAGAUACCCGCGUAGUC
rnacentral:rRNA from 1 species